CACCUAGGCUUGACCCGUUCUUCAAACACACAGCUAUACGUAAAACACACGAGUUUCUUGGCCAACCACAUGUGAGAGUAACCUGUAUCGUCGUCUUCAACUAAAUUAUCAAUAUAGCACGCGAUAUAUUUGUGUCCUUGGGAUAACUUUGUUGCAAAUCCUAUCUCUCGAACAGGUUUUGCUAUACAAGAGACUUCCAGCAACAUGUCUUUCGAUGAAACAUCGGCCGAUCGCAAUGUGGAGAUUUGGAAGAUCAAAAAGCUCAUUAAGAGCUUGGAAAUGGCCAGAGGUAAUGGAACGAGUAUGAUUUCUUUAAUCAUACCUCCUAAGGAUCAAAUCAGUCGCGUAAGCAAGAUGCUGGCCGAUGAGUUUGGAACCGCAUCAAAUAUUAAAUCCCGUGUAAACCGUCUAUCCGUUCUCGGCGCAAUUACGUCUGUUCAACACAGAUUAAAACUAUACACCAAAGUGCCUCCAAAUGGAUUAGUCAUUUACUGUGGUACAAUCGUGACUGAAGAGGGGAAGGAAAAAAAGGUUAACAUCGAUUUUGAACCGUUCAAACCAAUCAAUACCUCCCUUUAUUUAUGUGAUAACAAAUUUCACACUGAAGCACUAACUGCACUUCUGGCCGAUGACAAUAAAUUCGGCUUUAUUGUUAUGGAUGGUAAUGGAGCUCUGUUUGGCACGCUGCAGGGAAACACUCGUGAGGUGCUUCAUAAAUUUACAGUCGACCUACCGAAAAAGCAUGGGCGUGGUGGACAGUCGGCGUUGCGUUUUGCAAGAUUGCGAAUGGAAAAACGUCACAAUUACGUACGAAAAGUUGCUGAGGUUGCAACACAAUUGUUCAUUACCAAUGAUAAACCCAACAUUGCCGGACUGAUUUUGGCCGGUAGUGCAGACUUUAAAACUGAACUUAGCCAGUCUGAUAUGUUCGAUCCAAGAUUGCAAUCAAAAGUUAUAAAACUUGUUGAUGUGUCUUAUGGAGGAGAGAAUGGUUUUAAUCAAGCUAUUGAGCUAGCAGCUGAGUCUUUACAAAAUGUUAAAUUUAUUCAAGAAAAAAAACUUAUUGGUAGAUAUUUUGAUGAAAUAUCUCAGGAUACUGGCAAAUACUGCUUUGGUGUGGAAGAUACUCUCAAGGCCCUGGAGUUAGGAUCUGUAGAGACACUUAUAUGCUGGGAAAAUUUAGAUAUUCAGCGUUACGUUUUAAAGAAUCAUGCUAGCGCAACGUCUACGACAGUAUUACACUUAACACCCGAGCAAGAAAAGGACAAAUCUCAUUUCACUGAUAAAGAGAGUGGCGUUGAGAUGGAAUUAGUCGAAUCGCAGCCUCUGCUUGAAUGGUUAGCGAACAACUAUAAGUGUUUUGGGGCUACGUUGGAAAUUAUUACGGAUAAAUCACAAGAAGGUAGUCAAUUUGUACGUGGUUUCGGAGGAAUAGGAGGAAUUCUCCGUUAUAAAGUGGAUUUCCAAUCCUUACAAGCAGAUGAACCAUUGGAUGAUGUUGAUUUAGAUGAUUAUUAAUUUGUUUUUCAUUCAUAGUCUAUUGCAAGCAUACACUAUAUGCUCAUCAUAAUUGUACUACGAAGAAUUAAUUACAAAAGGAUGUCCUUUAUUUAUUUGUCUUAUAUUUUUUUAACGUAUCGACCAAUUUGGUGAUCGAUGCCUUAUAUUGGCUUUAUAGCUAAGUAAUAUGCCUACACGUUGGUUCUUGCUACGCGGUUUAACUCAUAAUUUGUGGUUCAAAAUCGAAAAUAUUAUAUUACUGCCAUUUGAGCUAAGGAAUACUUCGUUAUAAGGUAGACUUUCAAAGCAUGCAGCUGGAUGAAUUGGAUAAUGAUUGUUUCGACCUGGAAGACUAUUAAACAACAACAAGCUGUUUUAAAAGUGCAUGAUUGACUAUACAUGCUAAUGGAAUAAUAGUGAUGUACACGUCUUAAUAUCCAUCUUAAAAAUAUAUGAAGCAAAGGAUAAACUUGUAAGAUCCCGUUCGAAAUUGGAGAGAUAUAAAAACUUCCAUAAAUACACCAUUCUCCCAGAAAGCGAGAAAAUGAAAAAAAUAUCAGUUAAACGA